CAUGUGACGUUACCAAACUGUUGCCUCGGCGGGAACUCAUGCCCCGGGUGCGUCGCAGCCCCGGACCAAGGCGCCCGCCGGAGGACCAACCAAAACUCUUUUUGUAUACCCCCUCGCGGGUUUUUUAUAAUCUGAGCCUUCUCGGCGCCUCUCGUAGGCGUUUCGAAAAUGAAUCAAAACUUUCAACAACGGAUCUCUUGGUUCUGGCAUCGAUGAAGAACSCASCGAAAUGCGAUAAGUAAUGUGAAUUGCAGAAUUCAGUGAAUCAUCGAAUCUUUGAACGCACAUUGCGCCCGCCAGUAUUCUGGCGGGCAUGCCUGUCCGAGCGUCAUUUCAACCCUCGAACCCCUCCGGGGGGUCGGCGUUGGGGAUCGGCCUUCCUUCACGGGGGCCGUCUCCGAAAUACAGUGGCGGUCUCGCCGCAGCCUCUCCUGCGCAGUANUUUGCACACUCGCAUCGGGAGCGCGGCGCGUCCACAGCCGUUAAACACCCAACUUCUGAAAUGUUGACCUCGGAUCANG
rnacentral:rRNA from 1 species